rnacentral:rRNA from 1 species
GACGAACGCUGGCGGCGUGCUUAACACAUGCAAGUCGAACGGAAAGGCCCUGCUUUUGUGGGGUGCUCGAGUGGCGAACGGGUGAGUAACACGUGAGUAACCUGCCCUUGACUUUGGGAUAACUUCAGGAAACUGGGGCUAAUACCGGAUAGGAGCUCCUGCUGCAUGGUGGGGGUUGGAAAGUUUCGGCGGUUGGGGAUGGACUCGCGGCUUAUCAGCUUGUUGGUGGGGUAGUGGCUUACCAAGGCUUUGACGGGUAGCCGGCCUGAGAGGGUGACCGGCCACAUUGGGACUGAGGUACGGCCCAGACUCCUACGGUAGGCAGCAGUGGGGAAUAUUGCACAAUGGUCGGAAGUGUGAGGCAGCAACGCCGCGUGCGGGAUGACGGCCUUCGGGGUGUAAACCGCGUUCGCCUGUGACGAAGCGUGAGUGACGGUAAUGGGUAAAGAAGCACCGGCUAACUACGUG